rnacentral:rRNA from 1 species
GGAAAAUCUCGUAAAGAGUAUAUGGCGGAUGCCUAGACAUAAGAAAACGAUGAAGGACGUAGCAGCCUGCGAUAAGCUGCGGUGAGGUGGCAAGCAACCUUUGACCCGCAGAUGUCCGAAUGGGGAAACCCACCGCGUAGAUAACGUGGUAAGCACAACCGUUUGGAUGUGCUGGAAGACCCGGCGAACUGAAACAUCUUAGUAGCCGGAGGAAAAGAGAACAAAACAGUUAUUCCCCAAGUAGUGGCGAGCGAAAGGGGAGGAGCCUAAACCUGCCGAACUGCAGUUUUGAUCCAGUUUACUGGUGAGAAGCCUGAAGGUGCUGGAACCAUAUGUUCCGCAGGGGUUGCAAGACAGCGUUUCUACUAUCUAGUUCAGUAGAGCAGAGUCAUAAAAAAUAAUUCUUAACAGAAGCGAGCUGGAAAGCUCAGCCAGAGAGGGUGAUAGCCCCGUAAGUGAAAAGAAAUAUUUCUCUGUCGCGCUUGUUCUUAAGUAGUGCGGGACUCGUGAAAUCCCGUAUGAAUCCGGGUCGACUAUGACCCAAGGCUAAAUAUUUCUUAUGAUCGAUAGUGAACCAGUACCGUGAGGGAAAGGUGAAAAGCAUCC